AGUCGAACGCGAAAGCCCCGCAAGGGGUAAGUAGAGUGGCAAACGGGUGAGUAACACGUGGGUGACCUGCCUUCGAGCGGGGGAUAACGUCCCGAAAGGGACGCUAAUACCGCAUAACAUCCUGCCUUUGAAGAGGUGGAGAUCAAAGCCUGGGACCGCAAGGCCAGGCACUUGAAGAGGGGCCCGCGUCUGAUUAGCUAGUUGGUGGGGUAACGGCUCACCAAGGCAACGAUCAGUAUCCGGCCUGAGAGGGCGGACGGACACACUGGGACUGAGACACGGCCCAGACUCCUACGGGAGGCAGCAGUGGGGAAUUGUUCGCAAUGGGCGCAAGCCUGACGACGCAACGCCGCGUGGAGGAUGAAGACCUUCGGGUCGUAAACUCCUUUCGAUCGAGACGAAUGGUUUCCGGAUUAAUAGUCCGGGAAAGUGACGGUACCGAGAGAAGAAGCCCCGGCUAACUCCGUGCCAGCAGCCGCGGUAAUACGGGGGGGGCAAGCGUUGUUCGGAAUUACUGGGCGUAAAGGGCCAGUAGGCGGCCAACUAAGUCCGACGUGAAAUCCCCAGGCUUAACCUGGGAACUGCGUCGGAUACUGGAUGGCUUGAAUUCGGGAGAGGGAUGCAGAAUUCCAGGUGUAGCGGUGAAAUGCGUAGAUAUCUGGAGGAAUACCGGUGGCGAAGGCGGCAUCCUGGACCGACAU
rnacentral:rRNA from 1 species